AAGGCUCCUGUGUCACAUAAAACUUGUAUGAAAUACAUUUGUGUGCUUUGCUCUUGCUAACCUGUCUUUUGUUAUAGGGGUGUCAGCCAUGAACUUUGUAAGGGGUAUGGAGAAAUAUUUUCCUACUUAUAAAAGGAACCGAUCCCCCAGCAGAAAGGGACCCAGUGACAGGUUCCUCCAGGACCCAGCUCUGAAGAGCUUCUUGGGAAGCUUCUUUGAAACGGUAGCAGGAACUUUUAAAUAUGGACAUUUUAUUUUUAAAGUUAGAAUUCUGGAAUGGAGCCCAAUGAGGGGAUUCGUGGCCUACCCAAGCCAUACCGCUCUUGCGGUGGGAUGGAUGAGGAACCUGAGGCCAAGGACUUCGCGAACAUGCUGAGGGAGCCCCUCACAGCAUGGAGCCAGGACACACAGCUCUCAGAAAGUAAUUUUCCAUUUAGACGUGCUCCUUGGCUAAUUAACGAAUCAAGCGGGCCAGCAGUCUGGACAAGGAGACAAGGAGCACCCCACAUGUUACAACACAGGUAAAGAACCAGCAGCACAUAGAAGGGACUUGCCAGGUGACUGUGGAAGAAAGGAGGAAGUCACUAUUUGCUUAUGAGGAGCAUAUAGUCUAAAUUUCAAGCCUUCUCAUUUCUCCAUUUUCUUAUCAGGUUUCUUUUAAUCAGAUCUUAAAGCAAAGACAGAAGCUGAAAACAUUUAUAGUAAAUAAUCAGCAAAGAACUCUGAAAGCUUCGCCGACCAGAACCCCGGAAGGAGCCGGCCUGGUACUACCAGGCAUGACUGGCUUUAGUGGAUUUAACAAUAAAAAAGAAGAUGGCGCCAAAUGACCAAACUACACGCAACCUUCCCUUCCCACAAGAAGAGUGGAUAAAACUUUCCACUGGGGCUGGGGGAGGAGGCAGGGGACCAGUCCAGAGAGAUAAAAUGCUACUUAACACAACAAUGUGGAUAGCAUUUAGGCCACAUGCAAAUUUCAUCCACAGAGCUUGCAAAUGGCAUGCAAUUUACUGCUCAGAGGAUGUAACCUAUUUGAGUCUAGAGAGCUAAUUAAUAAAAGUCUAAAAAGAAUGCAGAGUUAAUCGCCAUCUAUCUCCUGGGCUAUUUCAACUUGGUUUUUUACAGUUGCUGUUAAACAAAAUUCUAAAUACUGUCAUAGCAAUCAGUUAUUAGUUACCUUAACAAGGUGCAAGUUGGUGUUGGUCAAAGUUAAAUCCUUUUUUAAAAAAAAAAUACUUGAAAAAGUUGAAGCUGCUCUUCUCUUUACAGCAUGUUCUGUGAUGGAUAAAAAUUGCAUCUAUAAAGGUUUCAAGCCAGGUCACAUUUAGAAAGUAAUAGUAAAUAACAGUAACUGGCAAAACACAGUCCUAGGUCUUACUUGCAAUUGCUCAAGUUGAAACAAUUGAAUACAGUCUUCAAAAACCAUACUCUCAUUUACAGAUAUGAUUGGGCACAUGGGAUUUCAAUCAUGCUCCUUCAUUGCUGAGAAUCAUGAAAUUAAAAUGGUAGUAAUUUUUACCUCUCACUUUUCUCUUGCCUUUUUCUUCCUUUAAGCAUGCCUGCACUAAGUAAUUUUUGCUUUUCACCGAUAACGAGAAGUUAAAGCCAGAUUAUUUUCUUUGGGACGACCUGUCAGUGAUUGCAAGAAUAUAGUUCAAAACAUCCUGUAACUGAUAUAUACGCAGCCCACCCUAAAUCCUGUCUCCCCUGAAGCUUGCUGAAGGAAAGUGUGACGCCUCUCCAUUCUGACCUGGUAUGUAUGCUUCUGGAAUCCUGAAGCUGAGAAUGAACUAUAUCCGCUUUGCAGUAAUGAGGCUUAAAAUGUCAAAGAUUCUAUAAGAGAUUUUUGAGUGGAUAAGAUACCUGAUGAAUUUAUAUGAAGGUGCUGGGACCCCAGAUUCCAGUCAGAGUGUACUUCCUAAGGACCCCCAGAUUCCAGUCAGAGUGUACUUACUAAGGACGGGAGGGGUGAUGCUUGGGGUGUGAGGGCAAUUUUAUGGAAAGUCCUUCCAAACCUGAGGGGGCAGACCUGGAAAAUGCAGGUUUCACCUUGGCCUCAGUCCCAAAGGUGCAUCUGUACCACUGACUUUUGUCAGGAUGAAUGAUGGUGCUGAGUAAUUUCAGGAAAGCAACUCAUCUGCCCAAAUAUGAUAUGACUGCCAAAAUAUUCAGAAUAAUGUA